rfam:Stegodyphus mimosarum contig28086, whole genome shotgun sequence.
GCCUUCGUGGUGUAGUGGUCAGCACGCCGGGCGCGUAUUCCAGAGGUCCGUGGUUCGAUUCCCGGCGAAGGCG